rnacentral:lncRNA from 1 species
AAUAUAUUUAGACUCGUUUGGGCUUGUAUCAUAUUUUCCCUCCGGUUUAUAUGAUCCGUUCAUCCUAUAUUGACUCUUAAAAUUCAAGAGUCUUAUCUAAAAAUGAGGGUACUUUUUAUAUGGCCUUCCAAAUACCGUUUCGAUCCAUAACAUCACUGAAGAGACAUUUAUUGUCGAAAUUCGGAUCUGGUGUACUAAAAAAUAUUCACACCGUAUGUUUGUGGCAUAACAUCGUGGCCACAAGUUGAAAACAAUUUCUGUUUAGUAUUAAAUUUAAAUUAGAUCCAUUUUUGUUACAUCUUGUGAUCAAUUUUAUUUGGCAAUCGCCAAUGGCAGUCAGCAGGGUUAAAAUGUUAGUCGAAUGCGUUUUGUUUGAAUAUACUUUUUCACUUUUGGUCUUUUGGAAAAUGUUGUUUGUGCUGUUUUUAGACCCCUCUACAACGAAUUUUUUUUUACAUGCACACGUAUAAUAAUUGCGGUUUUUAUCCAACGCAAUCAUAGGUUUGAACGUAGUUUUCAAUUUAGACUCGUGUAUACUGUGGAUUCAUUAUUAUUCGUUGGAUACCAAUUUUCGUGGCUUUCGUGGGAGGAGUCUAACUACGAAAUUAAAUUUUCAACGAAUAACAAAUUUUCAAUAGGCUUGUAUGCAGACUUCGGCAAAACCACGAAAUAAAAUAUCCACGAACAUGCGAGUUUUCUUUAAUCCACGAAAAUUUGUACCCACGAAAAUAAAUGAACCCACAGUAUAUAUAUAUAUGUAAACAUCAGAUCUGUGUACGACCUCAAAUCUGUGUCCGUUUUUCAAAUCUAUGCCCAAUCGAGACGUCACGCUAAUCUAUGUCAAAAUGAUUCGGCCUCAAAUCUGUGUCCGAUUUCUCGCGACAUCAUUCGCAAAUCUGUGUCCGUUAUGAAAAAGAUAAGGUCUCAAAUCUGUGUUAAUUUAAAAAAAAAAUUUCCAAUUUGUUUCGCCAUGCGCAAGUUUAUGCCUGUCUAAUAAGUUCGGCCUUAUAGGUUUUUUUAUUUUAUUAAGUAAUUUACCAUAAUUUAAUAUUAAGUUGGAAUGUGUUCAUCAUAUAUGUGCAAGAGCCGAAGUAAAGUAUACGUUUAAGAAAAUCCGGCUAAAUUAUUUAGCUGGUAUUUAUGAUAUUGUUUCAAGCACGGUCUUACUAUGUAAUGUUAACCUUGCUUUUGUCAUAUAAACCACUCGUACAAUGUUUGUUUGGUUUGAGUUAAUGCUCCGUGUUGAAGGCCGUUCUUACACCUGUAAUUGUUAACUUUUCAUUGUUUACUUGAUAACAAUUUGUUAUGUUUUACGUCGAUGAAAGGACAUAGAUUUGAGCCAAAAAUGGCAAUAGAUUUGAGUAAAUAAAGGACAUAGAUGUGAAACAAUAUUGGACAUAGAUUUGAGACAAUAAAGGACAUAGAUUUGGAACGUCUAUGACGCAAUAUUAAAAAGGACAUAGAUUAGCGGAAAGGACAUAGAUUUGAGGCCGGACAUAGAUUUGAGGCUUAUAUAUAUAUAACUCGUCUAAACAUGAACCCAACAAUGUUAGAUCUACAAAUUUGCUUUCGCAAUUUUUUUGUUCUUCCCUUUAACUUAUCGAGUUAAGCCAUUUCAAUUAAUAUGUUAUAGUGUGUUCGUUUGUGUUGUAAUGUUGUACGCCUGUUUAAGGUUAGUUAAGGUUGGCGGUUGUUUAAACGUUUAAACCCGCUAAUUGUUUUUUUUUUGCAUCUGCCCUCAGUCAGCAACCUGUCGUUCAUAAUUAUAUCUCGUUUUUGUUUUCUUAGUGAUUGCUGUUCGGUGUAAGCCAAAGCUCUAUGUUGAAAGACGUAAUUAGAUCUAUAAUAGUUUCCACAUUGUGACCUGGAUAGCAAUUUGUCUAAAUGGCACUCAUACUAUAUCUCCUUAUUUCUAUAAACAUGUUAUCUUAAUGCUUAUUAAUAUAUAUAUUUUCAUAUUUCAAUCUUGACUUCAGGUGCUUAAUGCAUAACUUCAUAUUUCAAAUGUUUCUGUUAAAUUGAAGGUAGCAACAAGACAAUAAAAACCACACGUAGUUCAAAAAACCGACAUUACAUUUCCAAUGUAGAAUGUAUAUCAACCUUGAAUGUCAAUGCAAAAUAGAAAUCCCUAUAGUCCGAAUAAUACUGUUAUACAAGUCACAAUGUGUAUCUUUGAUGAGUUUAUUUACCAGUCCGAAAAAUACUGUUACUAGUUUCACAUAUGUUCUUUUAUAAUUAUGUAGUAAGUGAUGCUAUUGCAUGUAUGUGUUGGUGUGUUAUGCGUUACUUUCGAUUAGUGUAUAUAUCGUGUAAUUACAUAAUAACUAGAUGAGAGUUUCAAUGUAUAUAAAUAAGCAACUAUAAUCAGUUCAAAUUUUGUUUUUUAUAGUUGCAUUUCUCACCAUGU